rnacentral:pre_miRNA from 1 species
GUCAGGAAGAGAAAGAAAGAAGGCCUAAGAGUAGUGGGAGUGGGAACAUGAUGGAAAGCCAACGUGUUUGUCUCCUCUCUGACUUUGAAGAGGGAGCCUACGGUGCUUUAUGAUGCCUCCCAUUCCUACCAUUCUUAAGCACUCCUUCCUCUUCCUUUUUGUC